rnacentral:tRNA from 1 species
GCCCCCGUAGCUCAAAUGGAUAGAGCCGUUACCUUCUAAGUAACUGAUCCCGGUUCAAUUCCGGGCGGGAGCACCA